rnacentral:rRNA from 1 species
UACGUAGGGUGCAAGCGUUGUCCGGAAUUAUUGGGCGUAAAGAGCUCGUAGGCGGUCUGUCGCGUCGGCUGUGAAAACCUGAGGCUCAACCUCGGGCCUGCAGUCGAUACGGGCAGACUAGAGUUCGGUAGGGGAGACUGGAAUUCCUGGUGUAGCGGUGGAAUGCGCAGAUAUCAGGAGGAACACCGGUGGCGAAGGCGGGUCUCUGGGCCGACACUGAUACUGAGAGACGAAAGCUAGGGGAGCGAAUGGG